CAGCACCUCAAGUGGUCAGGAUGAUUAUUGGGCCUGAAGCAUCCGUAGCCGGCGCUGUACGUUUUCGGUUAAAUCUGUACGCUCAACGUACAGGCUGCCGGGAAUACUGCAGCGCUAGGGAGUGGGAGAGGUAGACGGUACUCGGUAGGAAGGGGUAAAAUCCUUUGAUCUAUUGAUGACCACCUGUGGCGAAGGCGGUCUACCAGAACACGUCCGACGGUGAGGGAUGAAAGCUGGGGGAGCAAACCGGAUUAGAUACCCGUGUAGUCC
rnacentral:rRNA from 1 species